GAGUUUGAUCGUGGCUCAGGAUGAACGCUGGCGGCGUGCCUAAUACAUGCAAGUCGAACGAACAGAUAAGGAGCUUGCUCCUUUGACGUUAGCGGCGGACGGGUGAGUAACACGUGGGUAACCUACCUAUAAGACUGGAAUAACUCCGGGAAACCGGGGCUAAUGCCGGAUAACAUGUUGAACCGCAUGGUUCUACAGUGAAAGACGGUCUUGCUGUCACUUAUAGAUGGACCCGCGCCGUAUUAGCUAGUGGUGGGGUAACGGCCUACCAAGGCGACGAUACGUAGCCGACCUGAGAGGGUGAUCGGCCACACUGGAACUGAGACACGGUCCAGUACUCCUACGGGAGGCAGC
rnacentral:rRNA from 1 species